CUUGAAGUGCGCUGCUAUACAUGCAGUCGAGCGGACAGAUGGGAGCUUGCUCCCUGAUGUUAGCGGCGGACGGGUGAGUAACACGUGGGUAACCUGCCUGUAAGACUGGGAUAACUCCGGGAAACCGGGGCUAAUACCGGAUGCUUGUUUGAACCGCAUGGUUCAAGCAUAAAAGGUGGCUUCGGCUACCACUUACAGAUGGACCCGCGGCGCAUUAGCUAGUUGGUGAGGUAAUGGCUCACCAAGGCAACGAUGCGUAGCCGACCUGAGAGGGUGAUCGGCCACACUGGGACUGAGACACGGCCCAGACUCCUACGGGAGGCAGCAGUAGGGAAUCUUCCGCAAUGGACGAAAGUCUGACGGAGCAACGCCGCGUGAGUGAUGAAGGUUUUCGGAUCGUAAAGCUCUGUUGUUAGGGAAGAACAAGUACCGUUCGAAUAGGGCGGUACCUUGACGGUACCUAACCAGAAAGCCACGGCUAACUACGUGCCAGCAGCCGCGGUAAUACGUAGGUGGCAAGCGUUGUCCGGAAUUAUUGGGCGUAAAGGGCUCGCAGGCGGUUUCUUAAGUCUGAUGUGAAAGCCCCCGGCUCAACCGGGGAGGGUCAUUGGAAACUGGGGAACUUGAGUGCAGAAGAGGAGAGUGGAAUUCCACGUGUAGCGGUGAAAUGCGUAGAGAUGUGGAGGAACACCAGUGGCGAAGGCGACUCUCUGGUCU
rnacentral:rRNA from 1 species